rnacentral:rRNA from 1 species
GACGAACGCUGGCGGCGUGCUUAACACAUGCAAGUCGAACGAAGUGGCGAACGGGUGAGUAAUACGUGGGUAACCUGCCCUACUUUUCGGGAUAAGCCUUGGAAACGGGGUCUACUACCAAAUAUAGGGGGUUGGGCGUGGGGCCUAUCAGUUUGUGGGUGGGGUGUUGGCCUACCAAGGCGGUGACGGGUAGACGGCUUGAGGGGGUGACCGUCCGCAUUGGGACUGGGAUACUGUGCAGAGUCGUACGGGGGGAAGCUGUGGGGGAAAUUGCACAAUGGGAGAAAGCCUGAUUGAGGGGCGCCGCGUGGGGGAUGAAGGCUUUCGGUUUGUAAACCUCUUGCGCUUUCGAACGGGUAGGUGGAGAAGAAGCGCCGGCUAACUACGUGCCAGCAGCCGCGGUAAUAC